rnacentral:rRNA from 1 species
AUUGAACGCUGGCGGCAUGCUUUACACAUGCAAGUCGAACGGUAACAGCACUUCGGUGGCUGACGAGUGGCGAACGGGUGGGUAAUACAUCGGAACGUGCCUAGUAGUGGGGGAUAACUACUCGAAAGAGUAGCUAAUACCGCAUGAGAUCUAAGGAUGAAAGCAGGGGACCUUCGGGCCUUGCGCUACUAGAGCGGCUGAUGGCAGAUUAGGUAGUUGGUGGGAUAAAAGCUUACCAAGCCGACGAUCUGUAGCUGGUCUGAGAGGACGACCAGCCACACUGGGACUGAGACACGGCCCAGACUCCUACGGGAGGCAGCAGUGGGGAAUUUUGGACAAUGGGCGCAAGCCUGAUCCAGCAAUGCCGCGUGCAGGAUGAAGGCCUUCGGGUUGUAAACUGCUUUUGUACGGAACGAAAAGCCCUCUUCUAAUACAGGAGGGUCAUGACGGUACCGUAAGAAUAAGCACCGGCUAACUACGUG